GGGGUGGUGGCGUAGUUGGGAGCGCGUUAGACUGAAGAGUUUAACUUCAGCCAAGUAUAUCUAAAGGUCGUUGGUUCGAAUCCGACCCAUCCCA
rfam:Aspergillus cristatus strain GZAAS20.1005 Scaffold_Scf_11, whole genome shotgun sequence.